UUUAGGUGAUAAACAUGGUAGGAGUUGGUGAAAAGGGAGAAAGAGCUGAGGAUGUUCUCAGACCUUCCAAUCUGGGAGACUGGAUGCAUAGUGAUUCAUCCACUGGGAGGGAGAACAUAAAAAAGAAGCCUGUGUAGGAAUAACAAAGAUCAUUCCCUCAGCAGUGUGGAUAGAGAAAGAGCCCACACCACUCUGGACAUGUCACGGCCAGUUCCUUGGGAGGCCAAGAUGCUCUGAACAUGUGCAUUCUGAAGCCUCUGGUGGAUAUUUGGAAAGGACCUUCAUAUUCAACGGGUAUAAGAUAAAAGAUUUCCUGACAUGGUCUCUCCCAUUCAUUAGCCACGGAGAGGAUGCAGAUAACUUGGGUGUCAUCCUAACUUCGGACAGAAGAGAAUUGAAUUAAAGACCAUGGAAAUAUAUUGUUAAAAGCAGAAGUGAUCACUUGUACGGCACAUAAUGGUUUACAGUGGAAUCACUCCGGUUAACAUAUUUGAGCCUCACAAAGGCUCUUAGUCAUAGGUUGUUAUUCUGAAUAAGAACAACCCUUUACAUUUCUCAGCUUGAAAAUAUACUUUUUAUUAUAUUAAUUUAA